AAACCACUCUUGAGGGGCGGGGUUUUAAUAUCUCCCGGAGAAAAAAAAAAUAAAUUUUAAUUUUUUUCCUCUCUUUGGGGGAAAGAAAAAAAAAAAGGGGGGGGGAGUGUUUUUUUCCCACCCUUUUUUUUUAAAAAAAUGUUGGGUAUAAUUACCCCCAAAGGGGGGCCACCCCUCUUUCCCCCAAGAACCACAAGGGAAGAGGGGGGGGCCUUUUUGGGGAAAAUCCCCCGGGGACACCCCGGGGAAAAGGGGGGGAAACCUUCAAAAUUUUUAAGGCCCCCUUAAGGCCUGGGGGUACCCCGGGGAACAAGGGGCCAACCAAAGGGAGGCAAAGCCGNGAGCCGGAGCAAACCCCCAGAAAUGGCGCCCCAGUUGGGACUGCAGCNUGCACCCCGGNUGCANGAGCGGGGAUCGNUAGUAUCGCAGAUAGAUGUGCGGUGAUACGUUCCGGGUCUUGUACACACCGCCCGUCACACCAUGGGAGUCGGAAAUGCCCGAAGUCAGUGGCCCAACCGCAAGGAGGGAGCUGCCGAAGGCAGGUCCGGUGACUGGGGUGAAGUCGUAACAAGG
rnacentral:rRNA from 1 species